rnacentral:rRNA from 2 species
UGGGGAAUUUUGCACAAUGGGGGCAACCCUGAUGCAGCGACGCCGCGUGAUUUAGAAGGCCUUCGGGUUGUAAAAAUCUUUUGUAUAGGAAGAAAAUGACAGUACUAUACGAAUAAGGUCCGGCUAAUUACGUGCCAGCAGCCGCGGUAAUACGUAAGGACCGAGCGUUGUCCGGAAUCAUUGGGCGUAAAGGGUACGUAGGCGGUUAGAAAAGUUAGAAGUGAAAGGCUAUAGCUCAACUAUAGUAAGCUUUUAAAACUGUUUAACUUGAGAGAUGGAAGGGAAAGUGGAAUUCCUAGUGUAGCGGUGAAAUGCGCAGAUAUUAGGAGGAAUACCGGUGGCGAAGGCGACUUUCUGGCCAUUAUCUGACGCUGAGGUACGAAAGCGUGGGUAGCAAACAGG